AUGUAUCAGCCAGUAUCUGUUAACAAUUAGAAGCUGACAGCCUAGGCAACAUGGCACGACCCCAUCUCUACCAGAAAUAUAAAAAAAUAGCUGUGCGUGGUGGUGUAUGCCUGUGGUCGCAGCUACUCUGAAGGCUGAGGUGGUGCAGCUGAACAAGCUGGAAUAAUAGAAGCUGGAGAUGAAAUUCUUGCUAUUAAUGGGAAACCUCUGGUUGGGCUCAUGCACUUUGAUGCCUGGAAUAUUAUGAAGUCUGUCCCAGAAGGACCUGUGCAGUUAUUAAUUAGAAAGCAGAGGAAUUCUUCAUGAAUUUUAACAAGAAUCAUUUUCUCAGUUCUCUUCUUUCUUUAGCAAAUCAGAGUGACUUCUUAAACCACAGGUUCUUGAAAUGGCCAACACUGGUAUAGACACAGACUAUAAAAAUCUCCAAGCGUGUGCUUACACAUGAAGCCUGACUUAACUGUAUGUGCAACAGCAAUGAAAUUAACUCCAGAAGCCUUCCACCUGGAUCACCCAGGCCGGGAGGGUUCAUUCGUUCCAGUGCCUGUCCCCUACCUUUAUGUUUACUGAUGGGGAUACAAGAUGUGACACACCCUUCUUUAUUUGAAACACUCAGCUAGA
rnacentral:sRNA from 1 species